rnacentral:lncRNA from 1 species
AAACACUCCUGAAUCAUCCGAAACCCGAUCCGAAACACGCCCAACUCCAAAAUCAUCAUAUAAACCUAUUGGAGCCGUCAAAUUUUGAUUUCGAGGUCGGUUAAUAAAAAUGUUGAUUCAAAUUAAACUUGGUCAUCUUAGGCCACUAUUAAGGAAUCAAGUGUUCCGAUUUCAACCCGAAUCCUAGGGAGCCCAAUUCAACCAUCCCUG